rnacentral:rRNA from 1 species
UACGAAGGGACCUAGCGUAGUUCGGAAUUACUGGGCUUAAAGAGUUCGUAGGUGAUUGAAAAAGUUGGUGGUGAAAUCCCAGAGCUUAACUCUGGAACUGCCAUCAAAACUUUUCAGCUAGAGUAUGAUAGAGGAAAGCAGAAUUUCUAGUGUAGAGGUGAAAUUCGUAGAUAUUAGAAAGAAUACCAAUUGCGAAGGCAGCUUUCUGGAUCAUUACUGACACUGAGGAACGAAAGCAUGGGUAGCGAAGAGGAUUAGAUACCCUCGUAGUCCAUGCCGUAAACGAUGUGUGUUAGACGUUGGAAAUUUAUUUUCAGUGUCGCAGCGAAAGCGAUAAACACACCGCCUGGGGAGUACGACCGCAAGGUUAAAACUCAAAUGAAUUGACGGGGACCCGCACAAGUAGUGGAGCAUGUGGUUUAAUUCGAAGAUACGCGCAGAACCUUACCAACACUUGACAUGUUCGUCGCGACUCUAAGAGAUUAGAGUUUUCGGUUCGGCCGGACGAAACACAGGUGCUGCAUGGCUGUCGUCAGCUCGUGUCGUGAGAUGUUGGGUUAAGUCCCGCAACGAGCGCAACCCUCACUUUUAGUUGCCAUCAUUAAGUUGGGCACUCUGAAAGAACUGCCAGUGAUAAGCUGGAGGAAGGUGGGGAUGACGUCAAGUCCUCAUGGCCCUUACGUGUUGGGCUACACACGUGCUACAAUGGUAUCUACAACAGGAAGCAAGACUGCGAAGUUAAGCAAAUCCCUAAAAGAUACCUCAGUUCGGAUUGCACUCUGCAACUCGAGUGCAUGAAGCUGGAAUUACUAGUAAUCGUGGAUCAGCGUGCCACGGUGAAUGCGUUCCCGGGUCU